UAAGGAGCCGUAAAUCACCUUAAAAACUUGGGUAUUAAUCUUCCUUCGCAACUAGAAAUGAUAGAAUCAUUGAAUGGUUUGGGUUGGAAGGGACCUUAAGGAUCAGCUCGUUCCUAUUUCCCUGUUGGGCAGGGAUGCCUUCCACCAGACCAGGCACAGGGCAGCACCUCAUUCUGUCAGCACUCUGCAGACACCAAAGGGAGAUGCCAGUUAUUGACCUGAAGAUCUGUCCUUCUCUUGGAUUCUGACAACAAGACAUUUGGAUACAGGAAGACGGGGCAGUGCAAGGUGGCAAUUUUUAGUGUUUGGAACCACAGAUAAGGUGUAGAACCACCCCAGGACACCAGCCCAGCUCAUCCAGCUCUGAGGGGAACCCCAGUUACUCUCAGGAACACUCAGGAGAGUGUCCAGCACCACCUCAUACUAAAAAAUGGAUAAAACACCUUGUAUGUUGCAGUAUGCAAUUAUAGCCAUAGGUGUAAACAGGCAUAAUCUACUCUUUUUCACUGGCCACAAGCAU